GAUGAACGCUGGCGGCGUGCCUAAUACAUGCAAGUCGAGCGAACAGACGAGGAGCUUGCUCCUCUGACGUUAGCGGCGGACGGGUGAGUAACACGUGGAUAACCUACCUAUACGACUGGGAUAACUUCGGGAAACCGGAGCUAAUACCGGAUAAUAUAUUGAACCGCAUGGUUCAAUAGUGAAAGACGGUUUUGCUGUCACUUAUAGAUGGAUCCGCGCCGCAUUAGCUAGUUGGUAAGGUAACGGCUUACCAAGGCAACGAUGCGUAGCCGACCUGAGAGGGUGGUCGGCCACACUGGAACUGAGACACGGUCCAGACUCCUACGGGAGGCAGCAGUAGGGAAUCUUCCGCAAUGGGCGAAAGCCUGACGGAGCAACGCCACGUGAGUGAUGAAGGUCUUCGGAUCGUAAAACUCUGUUAUGAGGGAAGAACAAAUGUGUAAGUAACUAUGCACGUCUUGACGGUAGCUAAGCAGAAAGCCACGGCUAACUACGUG
rnacentral:rRNA from 1 species